rnacentral:rRNA from 1 species
CCUACGGGAGGCAGCAGUGAGGAAUAUUGGUCAAUGGACGAGAGUCUGAACCAGCCAAGUAGCGUGAAGGAGGACUGCCCUGUGGGUUGUAAACUUCUUUUAUAUGGGAAUAAAAUGUUCCACGUGUGGGAUUUUGUAUGUACCAUAUGAAUAAGGAUCGGCUAACUCCGUGCCAGCAGCCGCGGUAAUACGGAGGAUCCGAGCGUUAUCCGGAUUUAUUGGGUUUAAAGGGAGCGUAGGUGGAUUGUUAAGUCAGUUGUGAAAGGUUGCGGCUCAACCGUAGAAUUGCAGUUGAAACUGGCAGUCUUGAGUGCAGUAGAGGUGGGCGGAAUGCGUGGUGUAGCGGUGAAAUGCUUAGAUAGCACGAAGAACGCCGAUUGCGAAGGCAGCUCACUGGACUGCAACUGACACUGAGGCUCGAAAGUGUGGGUAUCAAACAGGAUUAGAUACCCGAGUAGUC